rnacentral:rRNA from 1 species
GAAUAUUGGACAAUGGGCGAAAGCCUGAUCCAGCCAUGCCGCGUGAUUGAUGAAGGCCUUAGGGUUGUAAAGCUCUUUCAGUGGGGAAGAUAAUGACGGUACCCACAGAAGAAGCCCCGGCUAACUUCGGGCCAGCAGCCGCGGUAAUACGAAGGGGGCUAGCGUUGUUCGGAUUUACUGGGCGUAAAGCGCACGUAGGCGGAUUGGUCAGUUAGGGGUGAAAUCCCGGAGCUCAACUCCGGAACUGCCUUUAAUACUGCCAGUCUAGAGUACGGAAGAGGUGAGUGGAACUCCUAGUGUAGAGGUGGAAUUCGUAGAUAUUAGGAAGAACACCAGUGGUGAAGGCGGCUCACUGGUCCGGUACUGACGCUGAGGUGCGAAAGCGUGGGGAGCAAAC